UGAUACCAGCAGAUCUACGGGAGCACUUGCCCACUGACCCACCGCCAGCCUUACCUGACCCACUGAACAAAAAUUCGACAAUACAUAGCUCCUCCACCAUUCCACAACUAACAACACCCACAACCACCGGUACGCCACAAAACCAAACCGACUACACCUCAGAAUCACCCGCAGAUCACACCCAAACAACCGCCUAAACCGAAAAAUACAACCAAAUUUAUACCAAGUUAUUGCUAUUGGGAAAACUUUUGACAAUCCACAAAUCUUGAAUGCCCUUAAAUUGGCUUUCUUCGAACAAAAUUGCCAACCAAAUCAAACAGAAAAUGCAGCAAGUAAGAAAACUACACCACCAACACCCAAUGUAGAGGGAAGCUCGAACCAAAUGGGUGAUAAAGAAGAAGACGUAUCAGUCAUCAAAACCCAUGCCCAUCCAAAGAUAAGCUCAAAUUUUGACUAAUUUAAACCUAAACACCAAACACAAACUAUAACAACCCCUCCCCAAAACCAAAAAACAAUCGACUCACUUAAAGUACUCAAUCCCACACAAACUGAACCCAACAGUUAGAACCAAAAAGACCUCCGUCUAUACGGCUGAAAAAUCCAAAAACAUGGGCCAUCCAAACCAUUAUUUUGCUGCUGCUGUCCAAACCACAUUGAAGGCUAUGACAAAGAAACCCUCACCCAUUACGAUUCAACAUGGAGUCCACUUAGUUGUGUAUGCUAAGUGUAAAAGACACUUAAGAGAGACACUGUGGGAAGACCUUAGGGGUAUUUCAGACAAGAUCAACUUACCUUGGUUAAUUGCUAGGGACUUCAACUACAUUUUGGCACCUGAAAAAAAAAAAGGGAGGUAGGACACACUCAAUGGCAAAGAGCAUUCCAUUUCUAAAUUGUAUAAUGGACUGCUCUCUCAUUGAUGUUGGUUACAUUGGGUCUGGUCAUACAUGGUGUAAUGGUUGGACUACAAGUGCAAGAGUUUGGAGAGACUUGAUAGAGCAUCAAGAACAAUGAGUGGUCACAAAGAUUUGUAAACACUGAUGUGACUCAUUUAGUGAGAACAGGGUUAGACCACUCACCUCUAUUGAUUUCAGUUACAACAUCACAGGCAGAAACACAAAGUUAUUUCAAAUUCUUAGACUUUUGGGUCCAAGAACCUGAAUUCAUAAAUAUAGUAAAGAAAGUAUGGGAUGAAGAGGUGGUAGGCUCUCCUAUGUGAAAAUUCCAUCUAAAUCUAAAGAACACGCGUAGGAGAUUGUCAUGGUGGUCCAAAAUUGUGUUGGAAACAUUUUUGAUAACACAAGAAAAUGAAAGUCAAAGUGGCGGAAGUAGAGGAGAAAUGCAUUGAGGACAAUACAGAUAUGAAUAGGAUGGCAUACAAUGGGGCUAAUUCACAACUAAUUAUGAACUUGAAGAAGGGGGAGGCAUAUUGGAGACAAAAAUCUAGAAUGCAGUGGUUCAAGGAAGGAGAUGUCAACUCCAAAUUCUUUCACACACUGAUGAGUUAUAGAAGAAGGAGACUAUUUAUUAAAAAUAUUAAAGUGGCUGACGAUACUUGGGUAGAAGGAAAUGAUGCAAUUGCAAUGGAAGUUAUUAAGCACUUUGAAGCUCAAUUCUCUGAAGACAACUCUUUCAAUGAUUUUAGCUAUCUGUAAUGCCUACCUAAUGUGAUCACUGCAGAAGAAAAUGAUAUGUUGUGUGCAUACCAACAAGGGAAGAGUUGAAAGAAGUUAUUUUUUCAAUGAGCCCUGAUAGUGCACUUGGGUUAGAUGGAGUAUCCGGGAGAUUUUAUCAACAAUGCUGGGAUGUCAUCUCAGCGGACUUAACUAACAUGGUUUGUGAAUUUUUUGCAGGUUCUCAGUUAUCUAAAUCAUUCACUCAUACAUACCUUAUCGCGAUUUCAAAAGUGACAUGCCUACAAAGUUUCACAGAGAUGAGACCAAUUAAUCUUAGCAAUUUCAGUUGCAAGAUCAUCUACAAGCUCUUGAACACUAGAUUGGAUGCAGUGAUACAUAAGGUAGUAUCACCCAAUCAAACUGGCUUUUUGAAGGAUAGGUCCAUCACAGAAAAUCUAAUGCUCACUCAAGAGCUUGUUCGCAGUAUCAAAAAGCCUAAUGCAAAUGGUAAUAUCAUUAUGAAGCUUGACAUGGCCAAAGCUUUCUUUAGAGUUAACUAGAUUACCUUUGCCAAGCUCGUAGGCAAUUUGGAUUCUCAGAAGAAUGGACAAACAUGAUAUGGAGACUGAUUGCUAACAACUGGUACACAAUCAAUAUAAAUGGAGGCAGACAUGAUUUUUUCAAAUCCAAAAGAGGCAUUAAGCAGGGAGAUCCACACUCCCCAUCUCUAUUUAUUAUUGGGGCAUAAUUAUUGACCAAGCUCAUGGAACAACCUAAAGAGGAAAGUUUCAUUCCAUAUGCAGUUGAUAGAGGCUGUCCUGUUAUUACACAUUUGAGCUAUGCCGAUAACACAAUUCUUUUUUCAUCUGGAGACCCACUGUCACUCAUUGCUAUGAUGAAGAAGCUCUCAACUUAUGAAAAAUGCUCAGGACAGCUAGUGAACAAGUCAAAGUCCUAUUUCCUACUAGCUCCUAACACUUCACAACCAAUCAAAGAUGACAUCACUCAGCUAAUAGGAUUCACUCACUCCAAAUCACCUUUUGGGAUGCCCCAUUUACUUUGGGAAAAAAAAGUCAUAUACUUUGGGGACCUGGUAUCUAAAGUUUCAGCAAGGAUGCAUCGCAAGAUAUUAUCAUAUGAUGACAGAGCUAUUUUAAUUAAAGUUGUUCUUCAGUCCAUACCACUCCACACUCUAUCAGUAGUACAACUGCAUAAGACAACAAUAUCGCAAAUGGAAAAGAUAAUUACCAAUUUUUUUCUGGAGUGAUAUAGGGGGAAAGAAGAAACAUCAUUGGGUGGCAUGGAGCAAACUAUGGUAUCCCAUAGAGUAAGGAGGUAUAGGGAUCCAAUCAAUACAAGACUAUCGUGAUAUCCUUGGUACUAAGCUGUGGUGGAGUUUUAGAACAAAGAAGAGCUUGUGGAGAGAUUUUAUGGAAGUCAAAUACCAUCCAAGAGCUCAUCGAAUAGCAAAGAAAUGGAUAAAGGUCAGUCUCAUAUAUGGAAAAGACUCUUUGAAGCUAGGAAAGAUUGUGAAAAAUUCAUUAUAUGAAAAAUUGCAUCUGGGAAUCUCUCCUUUUGGUAGGAUAAUUGGGUUGGGAUUGGACCUUUAGCUAAAUCCUCUAAUCACAGCUACAAAUUCAAAAAAAUUAGAGUUUCAUAAUUCAUGGAUGAAGACACAUGGAAUCGGGGCAAGCUACAGGAGGCCCUCCCCCUGUUAGUGGUCUUACAAGUUUUGAACAUUGAGAUCUUUGAUGAGGACAAAGAUUGUCCCAUAUGGACACCAGAUCAACAUGAUCACUUUACUUGUAAAUCUACUUGGAAAACUCUAAGGAAAACCAAAGUAGUUACCUAACUGCAGUCAAAACUUGGCACUCUAAACUCCCUUUCAAAGUUUCUUUUUUCAUAACCAGACUCCUGGCUAAGAAACUGAUCACAGAUGAUGCAUUGUAUAAGUUUAAUAUCUAUGGACCAUUCAAAUAUUGUUGUUGUAUAAAUGGGGCCAUAGAAACUAUUGAUCACAUUUUCAGAAAUGGAGAGCUAGCUAGGGAUGUGUGGAACUAUUUUUCUGGAACAUGUGGAGUUGCUAUCAUGAAUAAAAGUAUUAGGAGCACACUGAUGCAUUGGUGGCUUACAAAAGAUCUCAACAUGGUACAUCUAUUUUUGCUUCAGUUCCUUCCUUCUGUUAUUUGAUGGGAAUUAUGGAAGGCAAGGUGUAAUACUAAAUAUGAGGACAUGAAUACUACAACUGGGAGAGUCAUAAACAAAAUCACUUACCUAAUAAGGCUAUUGACCUCUUUUCAGUUUCCUUCACUCACUCUGAAUCAACAAUGGCAUGUGGCAUGUGAGCAAAUUGAGAAGCUUAAGCCCAAAAUUAACAUUCAAUGUAUCAAUUGGGUGAAGCCUAGUCCUGAAACUGUUAAAUUGAAUACUGAUGGGUGCAACAAAGGGAAUCCUGAAAGUGCAGGUGGAGGUGAAAUUUUGAAAGAUAAUAGAGGCCAACUAAUUAUGGCUUUUGCAACUUUAUUUGGGGUAUGCUCUAACAAUGUGGCUGAAGCUAGAACACUGCUUAUUGGAUUACAAUGGUGUAUUAACAAUGGCCAUCUUAACGUUGUAGUAGAGUCGGACUCCAUGGUCAUUAUCAGAAUGAUUAAUAGGAAUUUCAAACCUUCAUGGCAGGUUAAAUUCAUUAUAAGGAAGAUCAGAGAUUUGAAGACUUGAGGCAAUUUUUUAUUUGAACAUUAUUUCAGGGAAGUCAAUGGAAUAGCGGACUACUUAGCCAAUUUGGGUGAACACACAAAGCAGAGUUCGUUCUUCACACUGGAUUUGGCUCUCCCUCUGGUAGCUAAAAACUUUUUGAAGAAUGACAUUAAUGGUUGGUCAAGCUUUAGGAUUAAAGCACGGACAAGACAUUUUUCUUUUGAUUAUGGAUAAUUGUGAUAUAGUAGUAAUUCAGUUUAUAGAUUUUUUGGUACAAUAUCAUAUAGUGCAAAAUGUAAAGGAGUUGUACUCCUCAACAAUACCUCUUCAGACGCAUGUAUAUAGUAAUCCUUAUCAUUAAGCAUUGGAAGCUAAGGUUUAUGUUC